UAAUGAUAUCCUGUCCUGAGGCCUACCCCAC
rnacentral:piRNA from 1 species